rnacentral:rRNA from 1 species
AUCGAACGCUGGCGGCAGGCUUAACACAUGCAAGUCGAGGGGAGCGGCUGACGGGUGAGUAACGCGACGGAAGGUACAUUUUGGUUCGGCACCCCCCAGGGAAACUUGUGCUACUACCGGAUACCGAAAGAUCGGCCCGCGUCUGAUUAGCUAGUUGGUAGGGUAAUGGCCUACGAAGGCGACGAUCAGGAGCUGGUCAGAGAGGAUGAGCAGCCACAUUGGGACUGAGACACGGCGCAAACUCUUGCGGAAGGCAGCAGGGGGGGAUGUUGGACAACGGGGGCAACCCUGAGCCAGCCAUGCCGGGUGAGUGAUGAAGGCCGUAGGGUAGUAAAGCUGUUUUGUGCGGGAAGCGGUACCGCAAGAAGAAGCCCCGGCUAACUUCGUGCCAGCAGCCGCGGUAAUAC